UCCCUGGUGGUCUAGCAGCUAAGGAUCCCACGCUCUCACUGCUGCAGUCCAGGUUCGAUUCCCGGGCAGGGAA